rnacentral:rRNA from 1 species
AGCGGCGGACGGGUGAGUAACGCGUAGGCAACCUGCCCCAUACAGAGGGAUAGCCUCGGGAAACCGGGAUUAACACCUCAUGACACCGAGGGUCCACAUGGAGCUUCGGCCAAAGAUUUAUCGGUAUGGGAUGGGCCUGCGUCUGAUUAGCUGGUUGGUAGGGUAACGGCCUACCAAGGCGACGAUCAGUAGCCGACCUGAGAGGGUAAUCGGCCACAUUGGAACUGAGACACGGUCCAAACUCCUACGGGAGGCAGCAGUGGGGAAUAUUGCACAAUGGGCGAAAGCCUGAUGCAGCAACGCCGCGUGAGCGAAGAAGGCCUUUGGGUCGUAAAGCUCUGUCCUUGGGGAAGAAACAAAUGACGGUACCCGAGGAGGAAGCCCCGGCUAACUACGUGCCAGCAGCCGCGGUAAUACGUAGGGGGCGAGCGUUAUCCGGAAUUAUUGGGCGUAAAGAGUGCGUAGGUGGUUUUUUAAGCGUGGGGUGAAAGGCAAUGGCUCAACCAUUGUAAGCCUUGCGAACUGGAAGACUUGAGUGCAGGAGAGGAAAGCGGAAUUCCUAGUGUAGCGGUGAAAUGCGUAGAUAUUAGGAGGAACACCAGUGGCGAAGGCGGCUUUCUGGACUGUAACUGACACUGAGGCACGAAAGCGUGGGGAGCAAACAGGAUUAGAUACCCUGGUAGUCCACGCUGUAAACGAUGAGCACUAGGUGUCGGGGUCGCAAGGCCUCGGUGCCGCAGUUAACGCAUUAA